GGAGGCAUAGCUCAGCUGGUUCAGAGCAUCUGCCUUACAAGCAGAGGGUCGCUGGUUCGAACUGGCCGCCUCCC
rnacentral:tRNA from 1 species